rnacentral:tRNA from 1 species
GCGCCUAUAGCUCAACUGGAUAGAGCAUUCGGCUACGAACCGGAAGGUUAUGGGUUCGACUCCUAUUGGGCGCGCCA